UGCUGGCAGUGGGCAAAACUAAAGGUAUUGCCCAUUUCAUUUGCUUCACUCAGAAGUGCUCGAUGAUGGAGCUACAUGGCAUCUGUCGGGCAGCGUGCUAGUGACUGUAAAGGAUAGCGCCUGCGUAAGGCACAGCAACGCGCCAGGGCCCAGCGCCCUGCACGCUGUGUGCACCCCAGUUCAGGCCUCAGUGCCUGUUACUCUGGCGCUGGGCGCAGCCGGCAGAGCGGUGCAGAGGGCUGCCCCCGAUGCUCAGCAGCAGAGAAGAGAAGCUCUGCCAUUGGCACUGCGGGACGGGGAGCAAGCAGAGGGCCCAACGCCGUAAAACAGCCCUGGAAGAAGCACGAGAGGGCUCUGCGGGAGCAGUACCGGCGUCACGCGCAGCUCCUGACAGACUAAAGGUGCCCCAGUGGACGGAUGGGAUUUGGAUUGAGCCUCUGGCCGUGCUUAUGCUCGGGACGUACCCUUCUUGCAGCUACCUGGAGGCGUUAAGGUCGGCAUUGAACAGCAAGAGGACGAGCAGGAGGCCUGAGGCAUGGGUCGGUACGCAUGAGCCAUCACCUUCUUCUCAAAAUAAGCCCACGGUCCACGCUUGCAGAGUCGACUAG
rnacentral:lncRNA from 1 species